AUGCCUUCUCUGUGCCCAGGCCUCACCUCGGGGCUGCAGGAAGCAGGAUGUUGGCCCUGAGUUAGGAGCCCCAGGCUCCCUUAGGUAGACCCAGCCAGGCAUGAAUUGAGUGGAAGGGCUCCCUUGUGUGGGCUUGGAUCUGACCACAGGAGUGCCCUCUUCAAAGUCAAUGGGAAGGAGGCAGCACUGGUGAUGGGAUCCCCUUGUUGCAGGUAACCAAGGCCAGAAAAAAGACCUAAUUAAGACAUUUUUUCCAUUCUUUGAUGCUUCGGGGACAAAUUGGUGUAUCAAAGUUGGCAUAAGCUGCAUGAAUUCCCUCCAUUAAGGAUCUGGCUGGGCAUGAAGGCCCAGUCCAUAUAACUCAAACUAUACAUGGCACAGAUGACCAGGCCUCAAAGAAUGUCACCUUAGAAGAAG